rnacentral:rRNA from 1 species
ACUGCGAAUACCGGAGAAUGUUAUCACGGGAGACACACGGCGGGUGCUAACGUCCGUCGUGAAGAGGGAAACAACCCAGACCGCCAGCUAAGGUCCCAAAGUCAUGGUUAAGUGGGAAACGAUGUGGGAAGGCCCAGACAGCCAGGAUGUUGGCUUAGAAGCAGCCAUCAUUUAAAGAAAGCGUAAUAGCUCACUGGUCGAGUCGGCCUGCGCGGAAGAUGUAACGGGGCUAAACCAUG